rnacentral:rRNA from 1 species
AGCGGCGGAUGGGUGAGUAACACGUGGGGAACCUGCCCCUAAGUCUGGGAUACCAUUUGGAAACAGGUGCUAAUACCGGAUAUUAAAGCAGAUCGCAUGAUCAGCUUUUGAAAGGCGGCGUAAGCUGUCGCUAAGGGAUGGCCCCGCGGUGCAUUAGCUAGUUGGUAAGGUAACGGCUUACCAAGGCGACGAUGCAUAGCCGAGUUGAGAGACUGAUCGGCCACAUUGGGACUGAGACACGGCCCAAACUCCUACGGGAGGCAGCAGUAGGGAAUCUUCCACAAUGGACGCAAGUCUGAUGGAGCAACGCCGCGUGAGUGAAGAAGGUUUUCGGAUCGUAAAGCUCUGUUGUUGGUGAAGAAGGAUAGAGGUAGUAACUGGCCUUUAUUUGACGGUAAUCAACCAGAAAGUCACGGCUAACUACGUGCCAGCAGCCGCGGUAAUACGUAGGUGGCAAGCGUUGUCCGGAUUUAUUGGGCGUAAAGCGAGCGCAGGCGGAAAAAUAAGUCUAAUGUGAAAGCCCUCGGCUUAACCGAGGAACUGCAUCGGAAACUGUUUUUCUUGAGUGCAGAAGAGGAGAGUGGAACUCUAUGUGUAGCGGUGGAAUGCGUAGAUAUAUGGAAGAACACCAGUGGCGAAGGCGGCUCUCUGGUCUGCAACUGACGCUGAGGCUCGAAAGCAUGGGUAGCGAACAGGAUUAGAUACCCUGGUAGUCCAUGUCGUAAACGAUGAGUGCUAAGUGU